CAUAGCAGCUCCAGCACCACGUGACUGACUGCCUGGAGGCUCUCGGUUUAAGGUCUUGGAGACAAAGUG
ensembl:miRNA